GAUGCGACCUCAGCUCAGGCGGGGCCACCCGCUGAGUUUAAGCAUAUCAAUAAGCGGAGGAAAA
rnacentral:rRNA from 1 species